AGUAAAGUCAGCUAAAACAAGCUAUCGGGCCC
rnacentral:tRNA from 1 species